rnacentral:misc_RNA from 1 species
GAUGAAGAACGUAAUGAAAUGCGAUAACUAAUGUGAAUUGCAGAAUUCCGUGAAUCAUCGAGUCUUUGAACGCACAUUGCGCCCCCUGGUAUUCCGGGGGGCAUGCCUGUCCGAGCGUCAUUGCUGCCCAUCAAGCACGGCUUGUGUGUUGGGUCCUCGUCCCCCCCGGGGGACGUGCCCGAAAGGCAGCGGCGGCACCGCGUCCGGUCCUCGAGCGUAUGGGGCUUUGUCACCCGCUCUGCAGGCCCGGCCGGCGCUGGCCGACGCGAAAGCAACCAUUUUUUCUCCAGGUUGACCUCGGAUCAGGUAGGGAUACCCGCUGAACUUAAGCAUAUCAAUAAGCGGAGGA